rnacentral:lncRNA from 1 species
GACAGGGGUUGGGUGGUUCUGGGGUUCUGAGCCCCAGGGAAGGCAGGAAGGUUACUAGGACUCACGCCGGGAGACUCUGACCUCCUUCCCUGGGGGCUGAGGUUCCAGGAAGAGGACUGGGAUGUCCUCAGGGGCAGUGCACCUGCCCAGCGUGUGCAAGGCCAAGGUUCAGUCCCCAGCACUGCAAAAAACCGAACACACACACACACACACACACACACACACACACACCCCUCGAAACAAGAUAAUCACAUUGCUGAAGAGCAUGUUGGCUGGCUCAGUCUGUCCGUCCCCUUAUCAGAAGCCCCACCAUGACCAUGGCAGAGGACGAGGUCAUCCCCGAAGGGCGUGGAAGCUAGGGAGGCAGACAGGCUGGAGGCUGCUCUGGUCAUUUGCUUCACAAGGGUCUCGGUGUGAGACUGCAAGCAGAGCUGAUCAAACACUGUGUGUUUAAAUUCUAAAAAUGUAUUCCAGUGAAAGACACAUUGCCACAAGCCCCUCAGCGUCCCUCCCUCGUCCCGUUGCUCUUGCCGCUUUCCACAGCCGCUCUGGAGAGCUCUUUCCUGAGUGUCGUUACCAGGCGCACUCACAGAGAUGGUGACCGCUGCUACCGAGCGUCGUUCAGUGAGAGGUGGGCGGUGGGACACGACAGCGUCCUCAUCCGCGUGGUCUCUCCGUCUGGCACCGCGGGGCUUCUGGACGUCCCGGGCUUCCUCACAGUCAAAGUGACCGCGAAAGGGACACUUUUUGAAGCGAUUGAGGAUAUGUAGGGAGCGGCAACAGUGCCACAAAAGGCACUUGGGAGAGAGGACCCCGGAGCUGCUUCAGACAAUGGCAGAACGAUGGACGGAAGGGAGGGGGGAUUCUGAGAAGGGUUUGAAGCCACGCGUGUUGAAUCGUGAUACAGUGGCACCUCGGUUCGGGAACUCAAUUCUUCCCAUAACUCUGGUUGAAGAAUCUGUUCCACAAUCUGCUUGCUACCGAAUUGCAAGCAUAUAUCACUAUUUUAAACAUUCACUGUCUCUUCUGACCACAUCUCAUGUACGUCGCUUUGUAUCUCUCUAUAUAUUUGAACAAAUGAUAAUAAAAAUAACUUUGGCCAACU